UUAUUAUCUAAUUGUGUGUAUUUAGUUUUGUGCAGCGUGACCUAGAGUAUCACAAAUUGUUACUUCCGCUCUUCCCAGACUGUGUGUCCGAACAGUUGCUACAGUUUGAGAACAUUUUUACAUUCUUCAUACCCUCCUUCCCAAUGAUUUGGAUUUCAAAGCUAUAGAUCUGAGCUGUCUUUAAGAUAGCUCCUCGUGUAAGUCUUAAGUUUAGAGGCCUGAAUUAUGAAUCUAGUUUAAGAACUAGGUUUCUUUCUAAAGCCAUUGGCUUGUAGAUCUAGGUUUAAUUCAAGAUGCUAAAAGAAAGUGGCUUCGUGGGCUUAUCUUUCAUUGUUUUUAAUAAGUGGAAGUCCAUCCGAGAGUUUACAAAUUCUAUUCAAGCAUUAUUCCUAGAGCAAGCCAUUCCUGAACAAACACAAAAAUGAGAUAAAUAACAAGAAAUAAGCCAAGCGCAGCGAGACCAUUCGUUCUAGACGUGAUAGAGUUAAUAAGUCUCGUUUUCACAACAAACGGAAACAUUUUGUUUACAAUGAUGUUGCGACUCCCUUGAGUGCACCUCAUGCCUCAGUUUGAGAAAUGCUGGUAGUUCAGUGUCAUCUAUUCAAGAUGCUAAGCACAAAGCCAGCCUUUGGCUAGAGCUAACAAACAAGGAUUUAAUAAACAGAAACAAACAGCAAGAAUGGAAAUCCAAAAUAUAGUUUUUUAUUUUGUCUGUUUUGUUAGAUUUUAUUAUGUACAUGCAUUUUAUAGUAAGAUAAUGGCUCCUACUCCUCCCACCUCUUUUCCCGUUUUUUUCUUUGACCAGAAUUCAUAAUUCUCCACAAGCAAGUUUGAACAUAAAAGUUUGUUGUGUUUUUUUAUUAUUAAAAAUUUCGGCAGAUGCUCGUUUUCUAUUAGUACAUCUUGCAAUGGAGAAUUGUAAAGAAAAAUGUAUAUAGUGAGAGUAAAUCUACUCUAUUUGAGAAGCACUUAUACUAACAGAAUGAAGAACAUGUUUAUAAAUUAAUCUUUGACAAAUGUAAGUGUAGUUUGUUUUUUUUAAGAUAUAAAAUUUAUAAAAAAAAUACAUUACUACAGGGUCAAGGACACCCAAAGUUUUUCUAUGAAACUGGGACAAUUGGAACAUUUGUAAUGAAGCUGAUUACAAAGAAAAGUUACCGAAAGUCGCAGAGCACGAGAAAAGAAUUGAAACAAAAAAAAAAAAACAGGAGAUAACGGAUUCAUUGUGUCAGAAGUGGGGCACAAUGUGUAGGUGACACUUGUGGUUUACCUGGCCACGUAGCAUUCUGUCAUCUUCCCUGAAAUUAGAGCUAAAAAAAUGUGGUGAACGUUUCUAAGACGGUACAAAGUAACAUUGUUGUCAUCCCAUUGGUGUCCAUCUUGACUAGCUUCCAAAUAAGAACUGAGAUGACAUUGCCAGUAGUGUGUGAGUGUGAAUAUGCGCGUGUGUGUGUGUGCGUGCAUGUGUGCGUCUGAGAGAGUUUUUUUACGAGGAAAAUUGGCCUAUGAAAAAAAACAAAAAUAAAAAUAGCUGAGAACAUCAGUUCAAAGAGAAAAACAAAUGUAUCAUUAAACCUAAGAGACAACAUCUACAUUACAUACACUGACUGAUGCAUGCAUAUAAUUAAGGAUCAUGACGGGAGAGUGGAAAUAUCCAUUGGCGGAUAAAGUUCUUCCCACGAAAUCUAGACGGAAUUAAAUUAUGAUCUGCAUAGAAUAAACCCACUAUACAUACUCCUCUGCGGACUCCCGCAUUUAUAAAGCUACGAAUUCUCCUAUUAAGAGAAUGUCAGACAGAUCAUACUGUCUCAACAACCCAGUAUAAACUACUCGAUGUGAGAGUCAGAUUAGAACGUCGCGCUUCUUUUCCAUAGAGCAGACGUUCAGAGUUCAGCAGCACAAAGCUGGCUGGAUGAAGGUAGUCAAGAAAUAUCAGUAAAAAAAAAUACUUCUUUCUUUAAGAUACUUUGGAAACAGAUCUUUUAGUCUUUUACUAGUUUGUAAAACACAAGGCCUCUCAAGGGGCCGGUGAAAGUGAUGAUUUUUUAUUAUUAAUUUUUACAUAAUUAACUUCAACAUUGAACUGCAGUUCAAUCUGCAUAUUACGCUAUCAAGCAAAGGGCCAAAACUGAUUUAAAUAUUUCAAAACAAAUGAUGAAGCUGAUUUAAAAAAAAAAAAAAAAGACAUUGAUGAUUUCGUUGAAUUGCACGCUGGUAAAAAAAAAAAAAAAAAAAAACUCCACUGCUGAAGCACAAUGUUCUAAAAUAAAAAUUCAGCUCCUAAAAAAAUGUGAAUUUAAAAUAAUUUCAGCUUUCUGUAAGGUUAAGUAAAGACGAUUGUUAGCAAAUAUUACAUCUUCUAUUUAAAUGCUUGGUUUAUCGACGAUCGAUAGCCCCUUGCACUUUUGUUCUCCACCCCAAAGUUUAAAAAAAAACAGAUUUUUAUUUGUCUCCUCUUUGGUAAACUAUGUGUAGGCCUAUAUGCAAUGUUACCAUGGCAACAAAGACAAACUGUAAAUAGUGGACAACACAUUACAGCUAUAUUUGGCUAUGCAAAGCUAUCUAGAUGAUCUAAUUUAAUAGGUUUCAUUC